GGGGUCUGGGAGCCUGGAGGAAGCGAGAGCUUUGGCGCAGGCCGCCUGCGCGCUGUGCCAGGAAGGCGCUUGGAGAAAAUGUCCGGCCCCGCGACCUGGGACAGGAAGUGAUGGAGCACGGACUUAGUUUGCCUUUCAGUUCUUGUAUAAAUAGUUUUGAGGUUUAACCUGCGCCCCCGCGCUCUGCAUCAGCGCGGCCCUCGACCCCGUGCAGCUGGAAACACUGGGCGCCUCCCUGCUGGGCCCCUUCACACCCCGGUGGUGGUGCAGCCCUGCCUCCCGCAAGACAGCACUGCCUUCCUGCUGGACACAGUUCUAAGGUGGAGCCUGGAGUGCCUGUAGCACAAAUCCCGGAAUUGGGAAGUGCCCAGCUUUGGGCCACUGUGAUCCCUGGGUCUUUCCCGCGCGCGUAGUCUCGUGCCGCCUUCCACCCCGGUCCUGUGUCCUGUGCCCCGGUUCAGGGUUGUCUCUGAAUUUUCACCCAGUUGUCUACCAAGAGCCAAGGACGUGGUCUUUUAUCAGUGGCACCUGAGACUUUCUUCCCUGUGGACGCAAAUCCAUUAUUCAGCACUCUGGGCACAGCUACAGAUCUGAUCAGCUAUCCAUUCUCCAAACUAUCUCAUCCUCUGUCCCAUUUUUCUGUCUCUCUUGUCCACAAGGCAUAUACCUGAGAGUUUUCAAAUUCCUCAGAGAAAUUUAGCUGUUCUGUGGCUUUGGCAUUCACCUAAUGUGUUAAUCUACAAACCUUUUUUACAGUGUGGAUUUUUUUUUCAUGAUGUGAAUUCAAGUGGUUUCUAAUGUUCUCUUCAUAAAGUUGUAAACCAAAAAUAAAAUUCUAAGGCCCCACCCCAUCUGAAUGGACCCCUUCUCUGGGCCAGGGCACUCCAAAUUAACCUGAAAACCGUUCAGGCCACGACAUGAAGUGGGGGCGGGUGGGACAUGGCUGACUAUGCCCUCCUCCCUUUUGGAAUUCAGGGAAAGCCAACACAGACCUUAAGUCUAAUGAGAAACACCAUCUACUCUCUCUGAAGCCUGCUACCCCAAGGCUUCUUCUGCUGAUAAAACUUUGGUCUCCACAACCUCUUAUAACCCAGACAUUCCUUUCUAUUGGUAAUAACUCUCAACUAAUUGCCAAUCAGAACAUUUUUAAAUCUACCUAUAACCCAGAAGCCCCCACUUUGAGUUGUCCUGCCUUUCUGGACUGAACCAAUGUAUAUCUUGAAUAGAUUUGAUUGAUGUCUCAUGACCCUCUAAAAUGCAUAAAACCAAGUUGCACCCCAGCCACCUCCUGAGGUCUGUGUCAUGGGCGUGGCCACUCUGUUUGGCUCAGAAUAAAUCUCUUCAAGUAUU